GCACUGGUUUCAUAAGCCAGC
rnacentral:tRNA from 1 species